GCUGGGCGUGGUGGCACACGCCUGUAAUCCCAGCUACUUGGGAGGCUGAGGCAGGGGAAUUGCUUGAGCCCGGGAGGUAGAGGUUGCAGUGAGCUGAGAUCUUGCCACUGCACUCCAGCCUGGCCGACAGAGCGAGACUCUGUCUCAA
rnacentral:SRP_RNA from 1 species